CGUAGGGUGCAAGCGUUAAUCGGAAUUACUGGGCGUAAAGCGUGCGCAGGCGGUUUUGUAAGACAGAGGUGAAAUCCCCCGGGCUUAACCUGGGAACUGCCUUUGUGACUGCAAGGCUUGAGUGCGGCAGAGGGGGAUGGAAUUCCGCGUGUAGCAGUGAAAUGCGUAGAUAUGCGGAGGAACACCGAUGGCGAAGGCAAUCCCCUGGACCUGUACUGACGCUCAUGCACGAAAGCGUGGGGAGCAAACAGGAUUAGAUACCCUGGUAGUCCACGCCCUAAACGAUGUCAACUGGUUGUUGGGUCUUUACUGACUCAGUAACGAAGCUAACGCGUGAAGUUGACCGCCUGGGGAGUACGGCCGCAAGGUUG
rnacentral:rRNA from 1 species